UACAGAGGGUGCGAGCGUUAAUCGGAAUUACUGGGCGUAAAGGGCGCGUAGGCGGGAGAUUAAGUUAGGUGUGAAAUUCCUGGGCUUAACCUAGGGACGGCACAUAAUACUGAUUUUCUGGAGUAGAGUAGAGGGAAGUGGAAUUUCCGGUGUAGCGGUGAAAUGCGUAGAUAUCGGAAAGAACACCAGUGGCGAAGGCGGCUUUCUGGACUCAUACUGACGCUGAGGCGCGAAAGCGUGGGGAGCAAACAGG
rnacentral:rRNA from 1 species